UACGAAGGGGGCUAGCGUUGCUCGGAUUGACUGGGCGUAAAGGGCGCGUAGGCGGUUUGUACAGUCAGACGUGAAAUUCCUGGGCUCAACCUGGGGGCUGCGUUUGAUACGUGCAGACUUGAGUUCGGAAGAGGGUCGUGGAAUUCCCAGUGUAGAGGUGAAAUGCGUAGAUAUCCGGAGGAACACCGGUGGCGAAGGCGGCUUCCUGGACCGACACUGACGCUGAGGCGCGAAAGCUAGGGGAGCAAACGGG
rnacentral:rRNA from 1 species